rfam:Otolemur garnettii contig039245, whole genome shotgun sequence.
GGAUGUGAGGGCGAUCUGGCUGCGACAUCUGUCACCCCAUUGAUGACCAGGGUUGAUUCGACUGAUCUGUCUGGCUAGGUGAAUGUCCCCUUCCCACCUUACCGCUCCAUGUGCGUCCCUCCCGAAGUUGCAUGCGGGGUCUAAGAGGACGACCUUACCCAAUAGACCGUUCUUCUGUCAAGGGUAUAUGAGUAGCUGCCCUCCCCUGCUAGAACCUCCAAACAAGCUUUUAAGGUCCAUUUGUUGGAGAAUGUAGGUUAGUCAAGCUUCCAAGACUCCAGACACAUCCAAAUGAGGCGCUGCAUGUGGCAGUCUGCGUUAAAAA